GAGAGAGAGAGAGAGAGAGUCCAGGCAGACGGGCGCUGGACCCCUCCACCUCUCCUCUGAAGCUGUUGCCAUGGCCACUGGGGACUUUUGAUGCGAAGCGCGAUGACCCCCUCCUCUCUCUUUCCCCGCUCGCUUUCAGGAUGACAUCACAGACGUCCGCGUCCCUGACAGGCCACCCGCAGGCUGGUCUCGGCUUUAAAGCAGCUGUGCCCCUGUCCCCUCGAAGUCCAGCGGGCAGCCACCGUGUCCACGUCUGGGAGUGUGCCGGGACCUUCCUACCUCCUCUCGGUGUGAACAUUGCGGUGGACAGCACAGACGACCGGAGACAGACAGGGCUCCUCUUGGAAGGGCUGCCAACACCAAGUCUCAACUGGAUUCAGGAGGUCAAGUCCCAGGAUGCCCGGGAGGGAAGGGAAAGGAUCUGCUCAGCCACAGGUGCGAUGUCUCCCUUUCUCCAAACUGGGGGUGGGAGGGAGGGGGUGCGGGUGGUGGCGGUGGCUGGGAAAGCCGUUCUGGAGCUAGCGCUGGGCUCUCCUGCCAGCUGGAGUAAGAGGGUUGCAUGUGAGCUAAGCCCCGCGCUGCCGCUGGGUCUCUGGUGCCUUUCGCCCAGACUCUAGGUGUAGCCGACCUGUUGCCUGCGGGAAAGCGUCCCACAAGAUCUGAGAGCCAGGAGUCCGUGCUGAAGUCAGCCGCGAUCUUACGGGCGAGCAUCCCCAGAGUCCAGCGCCCACGGGAGGAAGACGUACACGGUGCCGGGAAAAGCAGCGGGUAACCAUCCCAGGACAACCAACCCCUUUUCUUACCCUUUGUGUCAUUAGUUGGUGGCCCAACGAACCCGGGGAAAGGGAGUGUGAGGGCUGGGGAAGUAGCUGAUGAAAAGGCGCAAACAGGGCAGAUAAAUCCCAGUCUUGCAUCUCCACUCACUGGGAUCCUGAAUGGAGCUCGGGAUCCAGCAGUAUUGGAGGUCCGUACAGCUUCAGCACCACUCAUUAGGCACCUUCAGAAGCUGGACAGCACCGGGGCCGCAGAGUACCAGAGGUCGGUUCCUGGGCUCUUCCCAAGACGCCAGGCCCAUGUCCACAAUUCCAGACUCCAUUCAACCGAGGCCAAGAGGGGAGCCCGCUGAAGACCCUCCUCACCUUGGACACACAUUCUGACGACAGCCUGGAGGAUGCCUGAACGUGAGUAUAGUCUCCUCGGUUUGUCUCCCCUUCAUUCUUGGGAAUACACAGACACCUGAGCAGGAUGCUGACCUGAAGGGCCACCUCCUUUCCCCACCUCCCACCCUGUGCUGAAUCCAACUGGGACCUUAGGCUCCAAUAAAAGACUGGAUUAGGGACUCUGAUUUCUCAGAGGUUAGUCAUGCUUGAUUGAGGCAGAGGCUCAAGACUAAACCUUCCUGGAGCGUAUCUGGAAAAGCCCCCUAACUUCUCUCCUAGAACGAUAGUUCAGAUCCUGUACCCACCCCCACCCCAGAUUCAUCCUCCAUAUCUAAAGCUUCAUAUUCUCCAGCCUGCCUCACAAAAGAUACACGAAGGCUCAAUUAAUUGUUUCCAUGGUUACGUGGAGUGGCCAUACUGAGGAUUCCUAUCACCCAUUACUGUCAUGAAGUAAAAGAGAGGAGGGGUUUGGGGAUGGUUGUCAUGGAGGAAACCAUGGAAACCAGGGUUGCUAAGGGGACAGCUCUAAAUUCAGAGGAAAGAAAUGAGAAGUGGGGAGUGACACUUGGUGGGGGCUCAAGGGCAGGUCACUUUUCCAAGAGUCUGUCAUCGGAGACUGACAAUGUAGCAAUGGUUUGGACACCUUUCUCCAACUCAGAGAGAAGCUGGAGUUUAAGAAUUUCAGAGACCCCGAAUCACCUGUCCUCAGGCCAAAACCAUCAUCACUAGAUCUAUAAGAAGAAAACCAAGGGGACCCGGAUUGGUCCCAGUCGCCCCACGCAUUGCUGCUCUAUCUCUGGACUCUGCCUCUUUGCCACUGUUUUACCAGGCUAGUUAGUAAGAACGCCCACUCGUUCAGGGAGCUUAGCAUAGGGCAGUGACUCAGCUGGUGGUGUUUGAGUCAGGGGUGCUCAAAUCUAGGUCUGCAAGGUGGUCUACGGAUGGCUCCUGAGAGUCUCUCCAAAGUCUUCUGUCAUGUCCUUUAGUGUGUCUCUUGUCACCUGAAGGUCCCCAAGAAAGUCCAAUUUCCCCCCAGAAGUACUGUAAGUAUCAACCUCUCUUACGACCAGCAGCUCAGUUAGACUUGUUCUUUUGUGUGCACUGAGGCAGGCUCUGCACCUCAGAGUGGUCCCGGGUUUGGUGACACAGUCCCUUGCGUCCUCCGCAAAGAAGCCCAGUCAGGCCGCCGCAGAGCUGUGCUCCAGCCCAGGCUAUGGGCUCUGAAGGGGUUGGAAUGAGAAGUUUCUCCCAGCAUCCCCACCUCAUCUGUCUCUGAGGGUCUCCAUGUCCAGGCAAGCCCUUCCCCAGUCUAGAUGAACAGAAUGAAUCAAAGGAUGGGGGAGGGGUAGAGCAAAGAGGAAGAGCUGGCAAUUAAAAAGCAAAAGAAUUAAAAGCACCAAUCGGGAAGAGUAAUUAUCCUUCAGCUGCCGCAGAAAUACAAUUAGGGCCAUGCGCUCUUGGAGCUGCCAGGAUAUUGUGGCUUUUCCUAAUUAAGGAGCGGAUGUGCCCUGCCCGUGCAAUUAGAGGCUGGCCCAGGCAGCGGGGGCCUCGCCUACCUUCUAUCAGCGUAGUGAAAGGGCAAUUAACUGUACAGCCUACAUCCCUGGCCCACUCUCCCACUUGACUUUGAAUUGUGACUCAUGGACCCUGUGAGGAUGUUCAUCUUGGGCCCUGGGGACCCUUGGGAAGGGAAGAAGCAGCCUGGGACGGGCACUACCUGGCUUGCUUUUUAGGCUUUAUAAUGGACGAAGAAGAUAUAGAGAGAUGAGCUGUCCACCUGCUUCCCGUGAGAGGAAGUGUGUUCAGGGUGGAAAAUAGAACACUCCAGGAAGGGGGGAAAGUAAGAAAAUCAUUUCUCCCCAAUUUUGAACAGAGACUCUAGGGAACUGUAUGAGCAGGGGGCAGGCAGGGUGCAAUGAGAAUAUGGGCAAAGUCAGGGGAGCAGGCACUGAAGCUGGCCUUCCCUACAGGAGUGUCCGGCUGAUGGCAGGUGGUGCGCCAAGGCCCGGGGAAGGUGGCUAGCGUGACCACGGUCGGGCCAGCCCCGUUUGGAAGACUAGUGAUUUUGUUGUUGUGUCUCUGUAUCCAACAACAAGUCCCAGUCUGCCACAUGGUGCUGGUCAUUUCAGCAGCUGUGUGGGGCGGGGGGAGCCCCAUUUCUGGAUAUAUUUUUUUCCUGCUUUCUAUGUUUCCAACAAACCCCUCCAGAAACUACCAGAAUGCCCAUCUCUCUCUCACACUUCAGUUGAGGAAACCUCAGAAGGACUUCUCCAGAAACAAGGACAUUUGGCUCUAGAGUGGGACAGGGGACAGGAUGCCCGUCCUCUGGGAGUGGUGGGCUGCUCUGCACCUGCAGACCCUCGUUUAUCCUGCAUGUUCCUCCUCCGUGAGAGACCACCACCCGAGGCUCACGGAGGGCGAAUGACGGUGUGGACCAGCAGGGGAGCAUGUGCUCCUAGCCCCUAGCCUCAGGGUCCAGGUGCAAGGGGCCACCGGAUCUUGGCUGGCCUGGAGUGUCUGUGCCUGCCUGUGGGAAGGAAGGUUAUGGAUACAACUUGCUAUCUGCCAAUAAACAGAAUUUUGGAAGCCCUGUCCCCAGCCCGUGCUUGGAGGCCAUCCUUGAUGGCAAAAGUGGUCAAUUCCCUGUACAUGUGCUUCAGUUCCAGCACUGGGAAAAGCAGAGGCAGGUGGAUUUUUGUGAGUUAAGGCCAACCUGGUUGCAUAGUAAACCUGUCUCAAAUGGAAGAAAGAAAGAUAGAAAAAAAGAAAUGCACACACACACACACACACACACACACACACACACACACACACACCCUGCUCCGUCCUUUUGCUGGGUAUCACACAGCCCAGUCUGGCCUUAAAUCCUCUAUGUAGCUGAGGGUGAUCUUGAACUCCUGACCUUCCUGCUUCCAUCCCGAGUGCUGGGAUUGCAGUCAUGUGCAUAACCAUACUUGGGGAACAAACCUACAGCUUCAGCCAAAAGAAGCAAGCAUGAGCCCUUCGGUUCCUUCACUUUUACUUCCUCAUCCUUCCCUCCCUCCCUCCCUCCCCUCCCUCCCUCCCUCCCUCCCUCCCUCCCUCUCUCCCUCUCUCCUUCCUAACUUUCUUUCUUGUUCUUUUGUAGAACCAGAGAUAGAACCUAGGGCCUUGCAUAUGCUAAGCAAGUGCGGUCCCCAAUCUUGCCCUGUCUGGGAGAUCACCUUGCCAAAAAGGUGGAUACCAAGUCCUAAUGUUGACACCCUUGGUAGAAAUAAACUUCUGAGCAAUA